CAGGAACAAACCUUCUUCUCACAGCUGGAAGAGACAACACAGUAGGAGAGAAGGGGUCCCAAGCUCUAGGGAAAGAGUCUGAGACAACUUCACUCCCAGUUUGAGGGCUCUCACAAGAUCACCAAGUUGACAUCUACAUUUUCAGAGGGCCAAGCACUGACCCAUACAGACUCCCUGAUUGUCAGUUUGAUCUGUGUGAGCCCCUGUGAGCCCUGCUUAGUUAAUUUUUUGGGUGGGUUUUCCUGGUGUCCUUGACUCAUCUGGCUCCUAAAAUCCUGUCUCUCCUUCUUAGCUUGGCAUCUCUGAGCUCCAAAGGGAGGAAUCCGAUUGAGAUCUUCAAGUGCAGUUCUCUCUCUGUGCCCAGUGUUUGUCUGUGGGAGUCUGCAUCUAGAGCCCUCUGAAAGGUAUCAAUCGGCCACUCCAAACACCAUCCAAUAAGAAAUACAAGAAGCACUCUGAAGAAGUCGUUGCUCCUAGACAUACCCAGACAUCCAUUUCAGCCAAAAUAAUUGAAAAAGACCCAUGAAGAGAAGAUGGAUGAAGAGCAAUACCAAAAGAGUUCAAAAUCACCUCAAAAGAUGCUAAAGACAGUUGAAUUCAAGAAAAAGAAACACGUUAGGUUUCUGUUACCCCACAAAGCUGACAAGGAAAAGAAACCCUCUUCCCCAGGAGAUACAGAUGAGUCAAAGUUCAGAUGUGAAUGCCACCACUGCCAGAUGUGUGGGGGGAACACAUCUGGGAUCUCUGAGGGAACUGGGACAGAAGCAGUCUCUCCAUCAUCCUCCUGGUAAAAGCUAACACUAGACCUCAGUAACUUGACACUCAACCUUCAUACCACCCAACCCCAUCUUGUACAAGACACCAUAUCAAAAGGAGAGAACAAAAUUCAGUGGUCAAGGAAAAACAAAAGGAUGUUUCAAAAGGUUCUAUACAAAUGGACAGAAUGACUGUGACACUGUCAUCCUCAUGAGAAGGAAGAUCCAAACCUACAGGAUCAUGAGUGUCAACAUCUUUUGGGGAGCAUGGUCAGGAGGAGUAAUGUCCAACCGAGUGAUAAUAAUACAGCCAGAUCGUGAUUCUAAUCUAUUCCACAAAUAUAGCCAUCUUUUCCUUGGUAGUUUAGGCAUCUUCCCUGAGGCAUUCUGAGAAGAGAUGCUCCUCAGCAAGGAUGACCAGAUUGUGAUUUUUCUAUACUCCCCAUGUCAGUGUUCCCAUAGGGCUUGCUACCAUUUUUCCCCUCCUUGUUGCC
rnacentral:lncRNA from 1 species